GAAUGCAAGAGGGUGGUUAGUGAAUGAGACCAGGUCACCAAGGGUCUUGUAACCAUGGUAAGGAAUUUGGAAUUUAUCCUAAGGGUAGGAAGAAGCCCUUGAAAAGGGCUAUAGCAGGCAGUGUGGAGAACUGAAUGAGAAGAAGCUAUUGUAACUGCUCAGAGAAAAUGGCAGUCUCCUCCACUGUCUGUGUCACAGCCAGGGACCAAGGCAGCACAAAGAGAAGGAAGCAAGAGGAAAUAAAGGAGGAUCACAUUUUCAUGGAAACAUGCCCACAGAACUCCAAGGAUGGAUCCAAGGUUUUAAAAAGUAAUUAUUCUUUACAUAUUCAUAAUUUUCUAAUAAACUCAACACAGACCAGGCUAAAGUUUACAUCUGUUAAAGAAAAAAACAAAGAUACAGGAGGAAAGCACAGCUUGUUUUCCAAUGUCUCUUGUCAUCUGAAGAGCAUUUUUAAUUUUUUUUAUGUUUCUUUAUUUUAUUUUUGAGAGAGAGAGAGAGAGUGAGAGGUGGAAGGGUAG